rnacentral:rRNA from 1 species
CAGAACGACCCGAGAACGAUGAAUCAUCACUCUCGGUGGGCCGGUUUCUUAGCCGAUCCCGCGCCUGCCGAUUCCGUGGUUAUGCGCAUGGUCCCAGUCAAGAUUUUUUUAAUCUCGGCUGGGUAGUGUGCCUAGCUUCCGGAUAUCACAAAACCCCGGCACGAAAAGUGUCAAGGAACAUGCAACUAAACAGCCUGCGUUCGCUGACCCGGAGACGGUGUUUACGCGGACGCUGUGCUGCAAUCUAAAGUCUAAAACGACUCUCGGCAACGGAUAUCUCGGCUCUCGCAUCGAUGAAGAACGUAGCGAAAUGCGAUACUUGGUGUGAAUUGCAGAAUCCCGUGAACCAUCGAGUCUUUGAACGCAAGUUGCGCCCCAAGCCUUCUGGCCGAGGGCACGUCUGCCUGGGUGUCACAAAUCGUCGUCCCCCCAUCCUCCCGAGGAUAUGGGACGGAAGCUGGUCUCCCGUGUGUUACCGCACGCGGUUGGCCAAAAUCCGAGCUAAGGACGCGAGGAGCGUCUCGACAUGCGGUGGUGAAUUCAAGCCUCGUCAUAUCGUCGGUCGCUCCGGUCCGGAAGCUCUCGAUGACCCAAAGUCCUCAACGCGACCCCAGGUCAGGCGGGAUCACCCGCUGAGUUUAAG